UACUCUCCCGGCCCCUCUGUGCACAACCAUUUCAAGUAUGUGACGGUGAAGCGAGGCUCAGCGGGGACGUUGGGACAACGGUGGGAGCAGCCACCAAGGGAGGGAGAGAGGAGCGCUUGAAAAUCGAAAUCCUUUCGUAGCCACCCGGGGCUACAGAGGGUGACGGGGGUGGCAGCUCUCGCCCAGCACCCUGCAGCACUCAGGUCCUGCUGGUGCCACCGGGCCAGUGAGGGGAGGAGAGGCUAGUGUGGGCGAUGCCACCCGUGGCCAGGUGCCCUUCCCACCCAGAGGAUGCUGCGCUGCCAAAGGUUUCCCAGGGGUGUUUCCACACCUCUCCUGCUCCAGGGGAUGCCCCAGUUCACCUUUGCUUGUUUCUGCGGACUCCAUGGCUUUUGCAAGAUGAAGAGAAAGAAAGAAGAGGCCAGCGCAGAGCAGGAGACAGCGGUGUGAGGAGCAGAGCCCUGUGUGUGCCUCGGGACCCCAUCUCCUUCCCCUGGACACUUGCCUGGCCAGGGAAAAGCUGAAGCAUGGCAAUGACCUUGCUGAGAGGCAGAAGCAGAUGCUGUGGAUGUUUUCCAGGUGCUGCAGCAAUUCUGCCCAGAGCCCCAGGCAGGUUGGACACCGAGCCCUUGGCAUCUGAGCAGCUGGUGUUGGAGGGAGCCUGCAUCCCCAGAGGGUAGAGUUUUCCCUCCUGAAUGAGACAACUUCCCCUUGCUCCAGCAAGUCUCAACAGACAGACCCUGGAGGGGGGGGUUCAAAAGCCAGGGCCAGACCUUGUCCCUUCUGGAGUCUCAGGGCUGGAGGGGCUGGCCCUGGCUGGUAAACUGUCCUGCUGCUGCAGGAUUGGCUGAAUGUAAGAACAAAUUGGUUUGGGGUUUUGUUUGGUUUUGGUUUUUUAAAAGGGUUC